UGCAAGUGGGGCAGGACAGGGCAGAAGAAGAGAGAAUGUGAAGAAGCCUCCAUACCCAGAAGCAACAAGCUGAGUGUCGUCAGAAAGCAGGCGGCUGACAGUCCACUGCCAACGUGACCCUUUCGUCCAGAUGAUUCUUCCAGACUCUCUGGGUAUGACCCAAGCCAGUGGGGUCCCCGAAACUUCUACUGAAUUGCAUAUAUCUGAAAGCACGUUGUACGCACAGACUCAGAGUCAGUUCUUCCAGCUCCCCCAGGAGAGGAAGCGAGGACAAAACAUGGUGCAGAGUCCCUUCAUUCUACAUGGGCCCGUAAAGUACAGACAUGGAGUCAUCUCCAUAGAACACAGGGAAGGAGAAAGGACGCAGGUGGUGAAUAGUGACCUGACCAGUGACGCUCUGACUCUUCAGCUGCAACAUCUGGGCCUGUGCCGGCCGCGAGCACGGCUGCCAGCAAACAGCCCCUCAGGCUGCGGGAUACGGUGGUGCUGCUCUAGGCGGGACCUUGCUCCAGUCUGUGUGCUGUCAGCUGUCCCACUGCCCACCCACAUCCACCCCCACUGAGUCUGAGGACCUUCAGGCCCUGUUGGACACCAUGAGGAUCGUGCCCGCUGAAUGGACUGCUCCCACCUCUUGUCCGUGGCCUCUUGCAUGAACUGGGACCAGGCCAAACCGGUCCCAGGGUCCCCUCUUGGCACCUUAACUGCACACAUAAUUCCAGCGUUCACUUCCGGUCCUCACACAGGCUCAGCCUGCACGCAUCUCCUGUUAAAGGUCUUUCCCGCCACGUGGUUGCUGCAGCAAGAAUCACGAGUCACUGUUGAAUCUUUGGUCCCCCCUGCCCCACAUGGAAUCUGUCAUCCAAGCCUCGCCAGGUCCCCCACCCCGGCCCCAACAUUUUCCCCAUUUCUCUCCUACUCUCUUCUCCACCAUGACCAUGAGUCUGAAAUGCCAUUUCCGACAUGGACCUGGCAGAGUCUCACCAGUCUUGCAGGGUGUUAGGUUCCUGCUGUUGCUCUAACAAAUGAGCACAACCAUAGUGGCUUCACACAACACAAUCUGUGAAUCCUGACGUUUUGUAGAUCAGCAGCCUGACCCAGAAAGAGCCGGAGGGAUUGCCCAAGAUCAUCGCCCCAUUUAAAGGCCAGCCUGUUAACAACCUUAAUUCCCCGUUGCCUUGUCCAGUCACGUAUUCACAGGCUCUGGGGAGCAAGGUGUGCACACCCUUGGGGGUCACUCAUCUGCUCACCACACUUGGCUUCCACUGUCUCCUCUCUCUCGGGCCUUCUCUGCCAGGCAAGCAGAGCGAAACCACUAGAAUAACAUCAUGUAAAUAGGGGCUAGAAGAAAGUGCAUAACAGGGGCUAUGGAAACUUCUGGAAAACAAAUCAGACCACGAAUAAAUAGUCCCUUUAGAUAUUUCUAACUGCAUUUCGAAUAAGACGCAGAGUCUCUCAUGUGGCCCCCAAAGCCCUGCCUGCUGGGCCCCCAGGCUUCAGGCACCCUGGCUGUUCCAGAUUUAAGGGGAAAUGGGUGUGAGUAGAGGGGGUGGGUCUCCCCAUGCUUUCAUUCCUGGAGGUAGAUCCCCCUUCUUGUAAAUGUGUGGUGGGGUCAUGAAGAUUCAUGAAGACUCAAACCUCUGGAUCAUUUUCUCCCUGCAGACUCCCUCCAUGUAGCUCUUUAAUGCUGUGCCUGCCCAACUGGGAUCAUCUGCCCAGAGCGUUCCAACAGAUUUAUGGACUCGGUUCCAACUUCUGUGUAACACGCCUGUGAGCUGUUGAUCCAGCUGUGCCAAAAGGGUGACAGUCUGUGACACACACUUGUCUGAAGUCCCCAUUGUGGGAGGACGGAGGAUCAUAGCUGCAACUAUGAUCCUUUUCUGCUAAAUUAUGAGGGGAGCUUAGAGCCGCAAGUGGUAUUUUUGUUUCUAGGAUUCCAGACACGUCUACAUAACUGAUUACAUAAUUACUUGAGAACUUUGGUUUCAUUAUUUAAAUCGUCAUAGAAUCGACCCACAAGGUUAUAUUAGUUUCCAGUACAACAUAACUGUUUGACGUUUGUACAUAUUGUGAAGUGAUCACCACAGCAAGCCGAGUUAACUGUUCCCACACAUAUCACAAAAUUAAUUUUUCCUGUGAUAAGAACCAUUAAGAUCUACUCUCU